rnacentral:rRNA from 1 species
CAGUAGCCGCGGUAAUACGUAGGUGGCAAGCGUUGUCCGGAAUUAUUGGGCGUAAAGGGCUCGCAGGCGGUUUCUUAAGCCUGAUGUGAAAGCCCCCGGCUCAACCGGGGAGGGUCAUUGGAAACUGGGAAACUUGAGUGCAGAAGAGGAGAGUGGAAUUCCACGUGUAGCGGUGAAAUGCGUAGAGAUGUGGAGGAACACCAGUGGCGAAGGCGACUCUCUGGUCUGUAACUGACGCUGAGGAGCGAAAGCGUGGGGAGCGAACAGGAUUAGAUACCCCCGUAGUCCCUGUUUCUUAUAC